UACAGAGGUCUCAAGCGUUGUUCGGAUUCAUUGGGCGUAAAGGGCGCGUAGGCGGCGGGGUAAGUCGGGUGUGAAAUCUCAGGGCUCAACCCUGAAACUGCACUCGAUACUGCUCUGCUUGAGGACUGGAGAGGAGACUGGAAUUCACGGUGUAGCAGUGAAAUGCGUAGAUAUCGUGAGGAAGACCAGUGGCGAAGGCGGGUCUCUGGACAGUUCCUGACGCUGAGGCGCGAAGGCCAGGGGAGCAAAGCGG
rnacentral:rRNA from 1 species